rnacentral:rRNA from 3 species
UUUGGUGGCGAUGCGCUUAGGGGUAACACCCGUUCCCAUCCCGAACACGAUGGUUAAGACCUAAGCGGCCGAUGGUACUAUGCUGGAGACGGCAUGGGAGAGUAGGUGGCCGCCAAUU